rnacentral:rRNA from 1 species
UACAGAGGGUGCAAGCGUUGUUCGGAAUUAUUGGGCGUAAAGCGCGUGUAGGCGGCUCGUUAUGUCGGGUGUGAAAGCCCUCAGCUUAACUGAGGAAGUGCGCCCGAAACUGGCGAGCUUGAGUGUCGGAGAGGAUAGCGGAACACCCGGUGUAGAGGUGAAAUUCGUAGAUAUCGGGUAGAACACCAGUGGCGAAGGCGGCUAUCUGGACGACAACUGACGCUGAGACGCGAAAGCGUGGGGAGCAAACGGG